rnacentral:rRNA from 1 species
UUAUAACCGGCGAUUUCCGAAUGGGGAAACCCAGUGUGAUUCGUCACACUAUCAUUAACUGAAUCCAUAGGUUAAUGAGGCGAACCGGGGGAACUGAAACAUCUAAGUACCCCGAGGAAAAGAAAUCAACCGAGAUUCCCCCAGUAGCGGCGAGCGAACGGGGAGCAGCCCAGAGCCUGAAUCAGUGUGUGUGUUAGUGGAAGCGUCUGGAAAGGCGCGCGAUACAGGGUGACAGCCCCGUACACAAAAAUGCACAUGCUGUGAGCUCGAUGAGUAGGGCGGGACACGUGGUAUCCUGUCUGAAUAUGGGGGGACCAUCCUCCAAGGCUAAAUACUCCUGACUGACCGAUAGUGAACCAGUACCGUGAGGGAAAGGCGAAAAGAACCCCGGCGAGGGGAGUGAAAAAGAACCUGAAACCGUGUAC